rnacentral:rRNA from 1 species
UACAGAGGGGGCAAGCGUUGUUCGGAAUUACUGGGCGUAAAGGGCGCGUAGGCGGCCCGCUAAGUCGAACGUGAAAUCCCCGGGCUCAACCCGGGAACUGCGUCCGAUACUGGUGGGCUUGAAUCCGGGAGAGGGAUGCGGAAUUCCAGGUGUAGCGGUGAAAUGCGUAGAUAUCUGGAGGAACACCGGUGGCGAAGGCGGCAUCCUGGACCAAUACUGACACUGAGGAGCGAAAGCCAGGGGAGCAAACGGG